rnacentral:misc_RNA from 1 species
UUGGCAUUUCAUUUCUCACAUCCCGAAUAUUGAAGUUGAUUGGAGAAGAGUUCAAUGGGAGGGCCGCUAUCUACUACAGAACCAAGAAAAAUCUUCUACCUCUUGAGAAAUCAAAUGACAAGUUAUGAAGAUUAGACAUAGUGUAUGCACUCUACUUCAAAUCCCUCUUCAACAACAAGCAAUACAAUUAAGUUGUAAGUACCAAUUUCACUUGUGUACAUUUCUGAAAAUUCUAAUUAAUAAAUUGAUAUCUGGCAAUAAUGCUAAGGAAACCUGAAAGGCAGUUUCAUUUCUAGAUAUUAUAAUGGAUAUGAAUUCUGAAUAAUUUUGACUGGUCUUUCACUUUCUGCAUACAUACACUGGCUCAUCAAGAAUGAAGGAUCAUAGGGUUACAGUUGUUUUCAUCACCAUUAACAACAAGUGCAAAGGGUACUCGGAAUGCAUUGGCAGAAGUUAAUAGAGAACUAUUCAGAAACCAAAACAAGAUUGGAUUAUUUUUAUAAAAAGAUUCAUAUAAAGGUACUUCUUGGAAAAACGUUUAUAAGUUCUAGAGCAAAACUUUCAACUCAUUGACUGCAUCUUUAAAUUUUUGUAAGUACCAAAUUUGUUUGAGCUGGCAACAGGUCUCAGCAAUUCUUCGAGAGUGAGAACGAAGGGGAGGGAGAUUUUUUCCUCUGCUGAUUUGAGUGCUGAAGGAGAGUUCUAAUGGUGUUGGGUGCUGCAAGGUGACUCUUAGACACUUUAUUAUUUACCAGAAAGGUAUUUCUUUUUAUUUUCUCCAAUUUUUUAGGAUCUCAAUUGUGGAAAUGUAAGAAAAAAUAUUGUAUAUGCUCUCUUGAUAUAGUGGAUUAUUUUUCAGAGAUUGGCCCGUGGUUUUUCCCUCUAUGCUGGAGGGUUUUCCACGUAAAUUUGGUGUUUUUGUGGUUGAUUUUAUUUUCUUCAGAACAAAAAACUUAUUAGAAAAAACCAGAAAAAGCCUGGCAAGGAGGAACAAGAACAAACCCAACAACCAAAGGUUACAACAGAAAGUAGCAGAACAAAACAGGACAAUCGAAAAUCAAAAUAAAGCAAACAUCCAGAUAUGAUACCCAGAGCACUGGAAGCACCAAGCAGAAAUUCAUUUGCAAUGUUUAUCUUUGGCAGUACAAUUUGAACAUGAAAUGUUAGGGAAGCCCUUGUCCUUCAGGCUUUCAAUAGUGUCCUUCAGACUUACAUCCAAAGGAAUGAAAUCAAUACCCUAAGUUUUCUCUUUUUCCUUACGUCUUAUUAAUAUCUUAUAUAUUAUCUUUCAUUCUUAUCACAUUUUUUUCAUCAUUAAAAUUUUAAUUAAUUCUCUUGUUUCAUGCUAUUAUUAAAAUGACCACCUUUCAUAUUUUAGUGUUCUAUUAAGCUUUUAAAAAAC